rnacentral:rRNA from 1 species
UCAUGCAGCUAGCUCUCUGCAACUCUCACAUGGUCGCCCACUGAAGCUAAGCAGGGCUGCGCCCGGUCAGUACCUGGAUGGAAGACCAAUGGGAAAGCUAGGUUGCUGCCGGAA